UCGGGAAUUUUGGGCAAUGGGCGAAAGCCUGACCCAGCAACGCCGCGUGAAGGAUGAAGUAUUUCGGUAUGUAAACUUCGUAAGAAUAGGAAGAAUAAAUGACGGUACUAUUUAUAAGGAUCGGCUAACUUCGUGCCAGCAGCCGCGGUAAUACGUAGGGACCAAGCGUUGUUCGGAUUUACUGGGCGUAAAGGGCGUGUAGGCGGCAAUUCAAGUCAUCUGUGAAAUCUCCGGGCUUAACUCGGAACGGUCAGAUGAUACUGCUUUGCUAGAGUGCAGAAGGGGCAAUCGGAAUUCUUGGUGUAGCGGUGAAAUGCGUAGAUAUCAAGAGGAACACCUGAGGUGAAGACGGGUUGCUGGGCUGACACUGACGCUGAGGCGCGAAAGCCAGGGGAGCAAACAGGAUUAGAUACCCAAGUAGUCCCUGAGCGGGCUGGCAAGGCGCAU
rnacentral:rRNA from 1 species